AGGGUUUGAUUCUGGCUCAGGACGAACGCUGGCGGCGCGCCUAACACAUGCAAGUCGAACGGAGUCAAGAGGAGCUUGCUUUUCUUGACUUAGUGGCGAACGGGUGAGUAACGCGUGAGUAACCUGCCCUGGAGUGGGGGACAACAGUUGGAAACGACUGCUAAUACCGCAUAAGCCCACGAUCCGGCAUCGGAUUGAGGGAAAAGGAUUUAUUCGCUUCAGGAUGGACUCGCGUCCAAUUAGCUAGUUGGUGAGGUAACGGCCCACCAAGGCGACGAUUGGUAGCCGGACUGAGAGGUUGAACGGCCACAUUGGGACUGAGACACGGCCCAG
rnacentral:rRNA from 1 species